rnacentral:rRNA from 1 species
UAAGUGAAGAGUUUGAUCCUGGCUCAGAGUGAACGCUGGCGGUAGGCCUAACACAUGCAAGUCGAACGGCAGCACAGGAGAGCUUGCUCUCUGGGUGGCGAGUGGCGGACGGGUGAGGAAUACAUCGGAAUCUACUCUGUCGUGGGGGAUAACGUAGGGAAACUUACGCUAAUACCGCAUACGACCUACGGGUGAAAGCAGGGGACCUUCGGGCCUUGCGCGAUUGAAUGAGCCGAUGUCGGAUUAGCUAGUUGGCGGGGUAAAGGCCCACCAAGGCGACGAUCCGUAGCUGGUCUGAGAGGAUGAUCAGCCACACUGGAACUGAGGCAAGG